rnacentral:rRNA from 1 species
GGAUGCGAUCAUACCAGCACUAAAGCACCGGAUCCCAUCAGAACUCCGAAGUUAAGUGUGCUUGGGCGAGAGUAGU